AACGAACGCUGGCGGCAUGCCUAACACAUGCAAGUCGAACGAGACCUUCGGGUCUAGUGGCGCACGGGUGCGUAACGCGUGGGAACCUGCCCUUAGGUUCAGAAUAACUCCCCGAAAGGGGUGCUAAUACCGGAUAAUGUCUUCGGACCAAAGAUUUAUCGCCUUUGGAUGGGCCCGCGUUGGAUUAGCUAGUUGGUAGGGUAAAAGCCUACCAAGGCGACGAUCCAUAGCUGGUCUGAGAGGAUGAUCAGCCACACUGGGACUGAGACACGGCCCAGACUCCUACGGGAGGCAGCAGUGGGGAAUAUUGGACAAUGGGCGAAAGCAUGAUCCAGCAAUGCCGCGUGAGUGAUGAAGGCCUUAGGGUUGUAAAGCUCUUUUACCCGGGAUGAUAAUGACAGUACCGGGAGAAUAAGCUCCGGCUAACUCCGUG
rnacentral:rRNA from 1 species